rnacentral:rRNA from 1 species
UACGGAGGGUGCAGGCGUUAUCCGGAUUUACUGGGUUUAAAGGGUGCGUAGGUGGAUAAUUAAGUCAGUGGUGAAAUCUUCAGGCUUAACCUGGAAACUGCCAUUGAUACUAUUUAUCUUGAAUACUUUGGAGGUAAGCGGAAUAUGUCAUGUAGCGGUGAAAUGCUUAGAUAUGACAUAGAACACCAAUUGCGAAGGCAGCUUACUACACAGUAAUUGACACUGAGGCACGAAAGCGUGGGGAUCAAACAGG